CCGCGAUUCGCCCUUCGGGGUGCACCAGGCGCGAAAACUUUACAAUGCUGGCAACAGCGAUAAGGGGACCUCGAGUGCCAGGUUACAAAUCUGGCUGUCGUGAUGCCUAAAAAGCAUUGCAUAGCAAGGGCCGGGCAAGACCGGUGUUAGCCGUUGUGGUAACACCGGCGGCUCGAGUGGUAACCGUUAUUAUUGGGUCUAAAGGGUCUGUAGCCGGCCGGAUAAGUCUCUUGGGAAAUCUGGCAGCUUAACUGUCAGGCUUUCAGGAGAUACUGUCUGGCUCGAGGCCGGGAGAGGUGAGAGGUACUUCAGGGGUAGGGGUGAAAUCUUGUAAUCCUUGAAGGACCACCAGUGGCGAAGGCGUCUCACCAGAACGGACCUGACGGCAAUGGACGAAAGCUAGGGGUACGAACCGGAUUAGAUACCCGGGUAGUCCUAGCCGUAAACGAUACUCGCUAGGUGUCGGCCACGGUGCGACCGUUGUCGGUGCCGUAGGGAAGCCGUGAAGCGAGCCACCUGGGAAGUACGGCCGCAAGGCUGAAACUUAAAGGAAUUGGCGGGGGAGCAC
rnacentral:rRNA from 1 species